AAAGGGUGCAUCUUUUGCAAAGGCCUGAGAAAAUGUCCCUCCAGCAGCAGCACCCUCAUCACAGAUACACACUCCCAACUACCAUCAACAAAGAAGCUGCCAAGCUAUCCGUAGCAAGUCAUGCAAAAUCCAGAGACCUGGAUUACUCCAAAUAGACGUGCAGUUUGCUAAGGGGAACUCACCUGGACCACAUCACAAAAUGCCCAACUAUUUUGUCAUUAUUCUAUCUCCUUCUUCAUGUAGCCUUAAUCAUCUUCUUUUAAAAAUUCAGAUUUUUUGUCUCCCAGUUUUUGUUCCUAUCUAUUUUCUUUUCAAACUUCCAAAAAAAAUUCUUCCUAAAACAUUUGACUUUUAUUUUCAAAUUUCUGGAUUUUUUUUCUAAAUGUUGACUUUUCUAAAUGUCCGAUCAUUUUUUCAAAAUUAUGGAGGCAAGGAUUCUCCAAAAACACCUAAUUGACAGGCAGUAAGUUCUAAACCUACCUACCUUACCUUGUUUCUGUACAAAUGCUUGAGGAGAGACA